rnacentral:rRNA from 1 species
UACGAAGGGUGCAAGCGUUACUCGGAAUUACUGGGCGUAAAGCGUGCGCAGGCGGUUGUGCAAGACCGAUGUGAAAUCCCCGGGCUUAACCUGGGAACUGCAUUGGUGACUGGCGGGCUAGAGUAUGGCAGAGGGGGGUAGAAUUCCACGUGUAGCAGUGAAAUGCGUAGAGAUGUGGAGGAAUACCGAUGGCGAAGGCAGCCCCCUGGGCCAAUACUGACGCUCAUGCACGAAAGCGUGGGGAGCAAACAGG